rnacentral:rRNA from 1 species
CGUAGGGUGCAAGCGUUGUCCGGAAUUAUUGGGCGUAAAGAGCUCGUAGGCGGUCUGUCACGUCGGAUGUGAAAACUCGGGGCUCAACCCCGAGCCUGCAUUCGAUACGGGCAGACUUGAGUUCGGCAGGGGAGACUGGAAUUCCUGGUGUAGCGGUGAAAUGCGCAGAUAUCAGGAGGAACACCGGUGGCGAAGGCGGGUCUCUGGGCCGAUACUGACGCUGAGGAGCGAAAGCGUGGGAGCGAACAGGAUU